rnacentral:rRNA from 1 species
AGAGUUUGAUCAUGGCUCAGAUUGAACGCUGGCGGCAGGCUUAACACAUGCAAGUCGAACGAUGAUUAUCUAGCUUGCUAGAUAUGAUUAGUGGCGGACGGGUGAGUAACAUUUAGGAAUCUGCCUAGUAGUGGGGGAUAGCUCGGGGAAACUCGAAUUAAUACCGCAUACGACCUACGGGUGAAAGGGGGCGCAAGCUCUUGCUAUUAGAUGAGCCUAAAUCAGAUUAGCUAGUUGGUGGGGUAAAGGCCCACCAAGGCGACGAUCUGUAACUGGUCUGAGAGGAUGAUCAGUCACACCGGAACUGAGACACGGUCCGGACUCCUACGGGAGGCAGCAGUGGGGAAUAUUGGACAAUGGGGGCAACCCUGAUCCAGCCAUGCCGCGUGUGUGAAGAAGGCCUUUUGGUUGUAAAGCACUUUAAGCAGGGAGGAGAGGCUAAUGGUUAAUACCCAUUAGAUUAGACGUUACCUGCAGAAUAAGCACCGGCUAACUCUGUGCCAGCAGCCGCGGUAAUACAGAGGGUGCGAGCGUUAAUCGGAAUUACUGGGCGUAAAGCGAGUGUAGGUGGCUCAUUAAGUCACAUGUGAAAUCCCCGGGCUUAACCUGGGAACUGCAUGUGAUACUGGUGGUGCUAGAAUAUGUGAGAGGGAAGUAGAAUUCCAGGUGUAGCGGUGAAAUGCGUAGAGAUCUGGAGGAAUACCGAUGGCGAAGGCAGCUUCCUGGCAUAAUAUUGACACUGAGAUUCGAAAGCGUGGGUAGCAAACAGGAUUAGAUACCCUGGUAGUCCACGCCGUAAACGAUGUCUACUAGCCGUUGGGGUCCUUGAGACUUUAGUGGCGCAGUUAACGCGAUAAGUAGACCGCCUGGGGAGUACGGCCGCAAGGUUAAAACUCAAAUGAAUUGACGGGGGCCCGCACAAGCGGUGGAGCAUGUGGUUUAAUUCGAUGCAACGCGAAGAACCUUACCUGGUCUUGACAUAGUGAGAAUCCUGCAGAGAUGCGGGAGUGCCUUCGGGAAUUCACAUACAGGUGCUGCAUGGCUGUCGUCAGCUCGUGUCGUGAGAUGUUGGGUUAAGUCCCGCAACGAGCGCAACCCUUUUCCUUAUUUGCCAGCGGGUUAAGCCGGGAACUUUAAGGAUACUGCCAGUGACAAACUGGAGGAAGGCGGGGACGACGUCAAGUCAUCAUGGCCCUUACGACCAGGGCUACACACGUGCUACAAUGGUAGGUACAGAGGGUUGCUACACAGCGAUGUGAUGCUAAUCUCAAAAAGCCUAUCGUAGUCCGGAUUGGAGUCUGCAACUCGACUCCAUGAAGUCGGAAUCGCUAGUAAUCGCAGAUCAGAAUGCUGCGGUGAAUACGUUCCCGGGCCUUGUACACACCGCCCGUCACACCAUGGGAGUCUAUUGCACCAGAAGUAGGUAGCCUAACGUAAGAGGGCGCUUACCACGGUGUGGUCGAUGACUGGGGUGAAGUCGUAACAAGGUAACC